CCCUUAGAUGUUCUGGGCCGCACGCGCGCUACACUGAUGCAUUCAACGAGUCUAAAACCUGGUCUGAUAGGGCUGGGUAAUCUUUUGAAUGUGCAUCGUGAUUGGGAUAGAUGAUUGCAAUUCUUCAUCUUCAACGAGGAAUGCCUAGUAAACGCAAGUCAUCAGCUUGCAUUGAUUACGUCCCUGCCCUUUGUACACACCGCCCGUCGCUCCUACCGAUUGAAUGUUCCGAUGAAUACCAUGGACUGAGAGUAUGAAUGGGUUCGCCUAUUUCUGCUUCUCGGGAAGUGGAGUAAAUCUUAACAUUUAGAGGAAGGAGAAGUCGUAACAA
rnacentral:rRNA from 1 species